rnacentral:rRNA from 1 species
GUGAGGAAUUUUCCGCAAUGGGCGAAAGCCUGACGGAGCAAUGCCGCGUGAAGGAUGAAGGCCUAUGGGUUGUAAACUUCUUUUCUCAGAAAAGAAUUAUGACGGUAUCUGAGGAAUAAGCAUCGGCUAACUCUGUGCCAGCAGCCGCGUUAAGACAGAGGAUGCAAGCGUUAUCCGGAAUGAUUGGGCGUAAAGCGUCUGUAGGUUGUUUAAAAAGUAUUCUGUCAAAGAUUAGGGCUUAACCCUAGAUAGGCAGAAUAAACUUUUAAGCUAGAGUUUGGUAGAGGCAGAGGGAAUUCCCGGUGGAGCGGUGAAAUGCGUAGAUAUCGGGAGGAACACCAAAGGCGAAGGCACUCUGCUGGGCCAAUACUAACACUGAGAGACGAAAGCGAGGGGAGCAAAUGGGAUUAGAUACCCCGGUAGUCC